GCGCGAGUUGUUUGUAUAGGACACGAGCUCUGCGGAAGUCACGCCCACCGGCGGUGACCUCAUAGCAUAAGGUCAUUUCUGUGGAGAGGGGCGGGGCGUCUCUCAUGUGUUGAUGGUGCUCGCGGGAAAAGAUGUUUAAACAGAGCUGCGGAGAACCGAUUCACCCAGUGAGAUGAAUGAGUCCCCAGACAAAUGACUGCAGCUUCUUUGAUAAAUCAGACGUGACAUCAUCGCUCCGUUGCCCAAAGGGAAGCUGGUGACAGGUGAUGUCAGCAAACUGCAGUCUGGCAUCCAAUAGUGUCUCCUGGGAUCUCCUUUGAGACACCUGCAGCCUAUAAACCAGUCAGUUUGUGUUUACAAAAAGGACUGAUAUCCCACCACAUUAUUAUCAGAAAUUUACCAGAGCUACAAAUAAAAAAUAAAGCACCAUUAAAA